UAACCUCUGCAGGCUGGCCAGCCUCAGGCUGGGCUGGGUAAGUAUCUCUUUGAAAGGCCCAUCCUCAAGCACAGUUAGGAGG
rnacentral:pre_miRNA from 1 species